UACGUAGGGGGCAAGCGUUGUCCGGAUUUAUUGGGCGUAAAGAGCUCGUAGGCGGUUUGGUAAGUCUGGUGUGAAAUCUCCACGCUCAACGUGGAGGGGCCACCCGAUACUGCCAUGACUGGAGUCCGGUAGAGGAGUGUGGAAUUCCCGGUGUAGCGGUGAAAUGCGCAGAUAUCAGGAGGAACACCAAUUGCGAAGGCAGCUCGCUGGGACGUUACUGACGCUGAGACGCGAAAGCGUGGGGAGCAAACAGG
rnacentral:rRNA from 1 species